rnacentral:rRNA from 1 species
AGAGUUUGAUCAUGGCUCAGGACGAACGCUGGCGGCGUGCUUAACAUAUGCAAGUCGAACGAAGAGAGGUGCUUCGGUAUUUCUCUUAGUGGCGGACUGGUGAGUAACACGUGAGUAACCUGCCUCAUACAGGGGGAUAACUGGAAGAAAUUUCAGCUAAUACCGCAUAAUACAAGAAAUCGCAUGGUUGAAGAGUUUAAAAGGAGGAAAUCCCGGGUAAUGAGAAUGGGAACUCGCGCAUCAUUAG